CAGCCUCAUCAGUGAUUCUUUAUUUUGGGUAUAUGGUAGAAUAUGGCACCUGGGAGAGUUUUCAAAAAGUACCAAAGCUUGAGCUACUUCUUGGUGAGCAAGGACCUUAAAAAACUCUCGAGCAAAAAUGGGAUGCCUUCUAGGAGGGUGAGACGCUGUCAGAGUCUCUCCUGCCCCAAGGACCCAGACUGAUCACCAACGUUCAUGGCACAAAUUGGCUAUAGGGGCUUCCAGGCCGAAUGCUCCCUAUUAGCAUUGGGAGAAUAGGCACUGAACCUGCCAGAUGAUGAAGCAGAAGUGACCUCCCUAGAAAAGCUCCUCACCCCUCAGAAAUGAUUUCCUACCUUGAGAAUUGAUACUUGAAAUUUCACAGUUAGAUGGCCACACCUUUUCCAGAAGCUUUAGUUUCUUCAAAAAUAGAAGUGUCUCUAAGGAGUUACAAUAAAAUUUACUGGUGAUUUGUAUCAUUUGGGGCUCAUCUCCUCAUAGCAGGUUUUGAAAGGGGUGAGCAAGGUAAGUUUAUGAGACUAUUGGAUUCUCCUAAUGAGCAUUGGAAAAGGUGCAAGAAUAGAAGCCUGUAUUUGGCACUUCUGAGCAUGGGUCUGCAGCUCACCCUAAAAGUGGAGUUGGUCCCUUAUUUUAAAAUCACUUAAUGCUCUUUGUAAUGCUAUCAUUAUAGGGAUGAUGCUCUUUCUUCUAGUUUUGAACUCUCUGCUGUCUAGAAACUUUUUCAUGUCAAAAGUUCACAUUGUUCAUUCAUAUCAAAAGAACCAAAUGAGAUACAAACAGAAAAAUACAAUUUAUAUGGCAGAAGUGGGAAAAAUCAUGGAAAUUCCUCAAAAAGCGAGUAGCACAGGUCAGGGUGGCAUUCCUUGUACGCUUUCAUACAAGAUGUUUUGUAUCAUUCUCGCUUAGAAACAUAAGCACCUGUCCUCAGAGAGGCUGGUCAGGGAUGGUUCUGCAGAGCACUUAGCACAUUCUGAGUGCUCUGUAAAUGUUGAGGCUAUGAGGUAAUCUUCAGAAGAUGUCUCCUCAGAGGAAGGUGCUAUGCAAAUACUAGUAUUGUUAUUCUUUUAGCACAAAUAUAUAAUUGACUUUCUGUUAAACAUUGCAGCAAGUUAAAUUAAUUCGGUAUGAUUACAGUCAUUAAACAAAUGCCUGGUAAUGACUGCCUUCUUAUUUUAGCAAUUCCUCAGACCACUGGGGUAAUACCGUACAAGACUUUUGUUCCAUUGUCAGAUUAAUUGGGUUGUACAACCUGCGUUUCACGAUAGAGCGUGCACACUGCCUUACAGCAACCGGACCAUGAUUUAAGCCUAGUGCUGAACUAAUUUACCUUCCAGUUUUCCCUAUUGCUCUUGCCAUUCCGUUAGGUACAAUUGACUAGUUCAUUACAGCAUACAAGUAGCUUAAGGCCAUUUCUACCUGUUAAAAAAGAAGUGUGCUUUUCAAACCAAAAUGUGGGCAGGAAUUCUCCCACAAUCAUUCUCGCAACGUUGAAACCAGCCAAAGCGAGAGGGACAGUGGCUUUAACCUGUGCUCGCGUGGGGGUGGUCACCCUAAGAAUUACCUGCCAUCUUAGCAAGCAGGACAGAAACAGUUAAGUCCUAAAGGCUGUGAGUUAAAAACUCUGUCUGAGAGAAAAGCAACGUAAGAUGUCCCUGCCAGGUGUGGAUGGAGAAAGACUGCACUCCUUAAGCCUCUCUUUCCACUGAAGGUCAUCUGUCUGGUGCCACCUUAGAAACUGGUUCUGCAGAGGACAUUGAAUGAUAACACCCCGCAAGUCAGCUGACUGCUGUGUCAGAGCUGCUGCUUUCUGCAUUAUCGCAACUGCCAGCUCCAGCUCCUGCAGUUUCCCAGUCGCAAUGCAGCAAAGCAGAGGCAGACAACUAGGCACAAAGCAACAGAGUUUUAAAGUUUUCUUCUCCUGCUACUACUUAGCAUGUCUUGCAUGAGGAGUAUUUACCUUUGUUUAGCCAGGAGCAGAGAUGCAGCCUGAAUGUACACGAUGGCUUCUAACUUGGCAGCGCGAAUUUUCAGCUGAGCAGGUACUGCUCGGAGACUUGUAACCAAACUGCUUCUGAUGGAGCACGGCUGGUUUCCCACCAUGUGUGUGAAUAGUUUGGGGGCUUCUUAUGCCACGCUGCUCUAUCUGCAGGAAUAAAGGCUAGGACAAAGGAGAGGAUGCUUGCCAUGGUUUGUCUGGCUGGGGCCUGUGCGAGCGACUCACCGCACUGAUGCUGUGUGACUCCCCAGCUCACAUUUAAGGCUGGUCACGGGGCUGGCGCAGAUCCCCACUCCUCAGUUAGAGCACGGUUUAAAGGAGAAACCAGACUCCCUGAUCUAAAUCUUUCCCAGUCCUCUCUGGAUGCGGGACAGCUGUCGACUAGCAGUGACACAACCAGCCAUCAAGUGGAGAAUCCUUGCGACUGCAGUCUGUGUGCAGGUGGAGCCCGGGAGAAUGACAGUCUAAUUUCGGUCAUCCAAUGGCUUUUUCUGAUUUUCCUAAAUAAUCGUGCUCGCUAAGUAUACAGUUGUCUGGAUUAGCCUGCCUGCCAUGCAGUCCUCAUCAACUCUGGCUGGAAAUCAGGGUGCCAGGCAAGCCGCCUUUAGCUCUGGCUUCUUUCUGCGUGAUGCUAUGCAGCUAGGAUGGGUCACGCUGACAACAAAGAAGGAAGCAGAAAGCAUCACUUUCUCUUCUCUUGUGAUGUUAGCGGAACAUAACUCUUCUUCGCAGUGAUGCCCUCCUCUCUCUCUCUCUCUCUGUGUGUGUGUGUGUGUAUGCGUGUUUUAAUUCAUCUAAUCGAAGAGCCUAGCAAACAUCAUCAUGGACGUGGUUUUUAAUGAUUUGGAAAAAGCAAAAAAAAGACAGCCUGUGGAGACAGCGAUUCGAAACAGCGGCACAUUUAGGUUAUUGCCAAUUUGAAAUACUUGGUUUGUGAAGCUGAGCCCUAAGGGACAAGCUCGGUAACUGAGGAAGAGAUCGUAGAUAAAGAAAUAAAAAUGACAAGCGUAAUGGAGGCUCUGCGAAGGGACUGUCAGAGCAUCAGUUCAUGGAUGGCAAUUUCGCCAGGCUGAGAUUGAAUAAUUCAUAGAUUGAAAUUACCCUGCUUUCACCUUUCCAUUUAAACCGGCACGAUCUGAAUCUCUAAUAAAUUUUCAAGAUAAAGUAAAAUGCCAAUUUGAAUCUGAAGAGCUUUUAAAACCAGAUGCUGCAUCCCUGCAUCUUUCGGUAUCUUUCACAAUUAUCCUAUGAGAACAGCACUUCAUCACGAAGCACCAUUACCAGGGAAAAUUACUGUGAUUACAAUAGCAACAAUAGAAUACCAUCAAAUGAUCUCUAAUUUACCUAAUUUGCUAAGACUGACUGUGUGGUUUUGAUAUCCAUUGUAUGUCACCAUGCCCGGCACCCGUGAAGCUAUCUCGCGCUGGAACAAAAGUGGCAUCGUGUGUGUGUGUGUGUGUGUGUGUGUGUGUGUGUAUGUGUGCAUGCACAUCCUGCUACCUUAACUGUGAAAGCCUGGCAAAGAAUAUUCUCCUAGGUUACCAUAUUUCUUUCCUUUGGUUCACAUUUUUGCUUUUUUCCAGUGCCUCUACCCCAAACGUGUUUGGGGAAAUGGAGAGCCUGUCAUGGAUGACUGUUUUUUGAUACAGAAGAGCAUUGAUUUGUUAAUUUAUAUACCCACUUUAUUUUAAUGUCUACAAGCAUGUGUUUACUAAAAGGGAGGUAGGAUGCUGUUCUGGGAGAGUAGUUUUAAAAUGCAGCCGAGAUGUAGCAUAUGUGUUUGUUUCUUCCUUGAAACGCCUGUCUGUCUCUUUCAGGUUAGAAAUCCUUUCCGGGAACUUUAGUCCUGGUGUGAUGUGUCAGAAGCCUCUCAGAUUGCAAAGAAGCUCGGGAGAGACAAUCAGUAAUAACUCUAUACAGCUUUUAUUAAAAGCAUGCAUGUUCAAUUCAGUGAUUAAAUGAAGCUUCGGUACAACUUUGGCUAUGUUUAUGCCUGCUCACUCUGGAGUAAAAGUCUGUACUAAAGAGAACUUUUUGGGACAGGCUGCACGGUUCAUCUCAGGGUAAUUGUGCCAUCCUGAGAAGGUGGCAUGGAUCAUAAAUCCUCCCUGGAGAACAGACUGUAAUCAUUAAUAGGCACAAUGGCUUCUGGAAUUUUACUUUCAAUAGUAUGAAGGUAGUAUGUGGGUUUCUGCUAGUCAAGUGAUUUAAGUGUGGUUAUCUAAGGUAGGGCUUCGGAGGUAUGACAACCAUCUGGGAGGAAGGUAGGUUUGAAACACACCUUUCUAACGUUCUGGGGUUUUUGCAUGAGAUCCUUAACUCUGAUACGUUCCUCAAUCCAUUAUCACAGCUUUACCCCUUCCCUUAUCCUGUGACCCAACAAAUACCGUUGUCAGAGCAGGUUGAGAUUUGCAUGCAGUAUUUCCAGAAUGUUGAAUAUCAGCACGGAUCACUGCAAAGAAGUUGGAACUCAUCCCACAUGAAUUUCUCAGGUUCUCUUACAAGACCACCAACAUUCUUCAAACGUUAGUGAAAUAAAACAGCAGGAGGGUUUGGAACUCUGGAUCCUCAGCCUGGAUGUGUCACAAUUUAAUCCUAAAGAUCUGGCUGCAAGACCUGUGAGAACACUUGGAUAAUGCGAUCAACCUUCCUUGGCAUCGUGAGGGAGAAAUCUGGACACAGAGACAUGCACAUAAGCCUUCAGAAGGAACCAACCCUUCGAAACGCCAAGGCUGGUGGAUCGCUUGAGGUCAGGAGUUCGAGACCCGACUGGCCAACAUGCAUGAAUAAGAGCCCCCAGAACCGACAGUGCUUUGAUGAACUGCCGCCUUUUGAACAAAGUACUAGAUGGUGAACCUGCCCUGAAAGUUUCCUUCGAGUUGUCCUGCUCAAAUGAUUGUGGGUAUAAGAACUAAUAUUUGAAUAUUACUUAUUCUGGGUCAAAAAUAUAAAAGGAAUGAGUUACUUUAGAUGUUGUCACAACUUUGGAGCCCGUGCCACACUGCAGCAGGUGCAGAUUCUCACAUAGAGAGAACUCUUCUGUGAGAAGACAGCACCAGUAGAAUUCUAAGCAGGUUGGAAACACGCAUAUGCUGCCUCUUGCUGAAGAUGUGUGAAUGAACCAGCACCCAGUCAUCAGCCUCCUUGUCCUUCCUUUCUUAAAGUAAUUUUCAAGACAAGCUCAAACAGUACUCUCACAGUUGGUUACUAGAGGAGUUAAUGACUCCAAGCUCAAAAGGAAUGACUUUUUCUGAAUUUUCCAUUUGACAAACAUCUCCCUAAGGCGACAGCUUUUACCCCCUGCCUACUCCCCUAGUUGAAGUUAGCGACCGUGUAUUAAUUAGUUGAAGCCUAAUCUCAGGAAGCACUAACACUUGCCCUUUCUUCUUAAGCACACUAAGUGUGCGUUAGAAGGCAAGUUCAGUCUAAAUUACCUGGAAGUCUCUUGUUAGGCACACUGAAAGCUUCCUGCUACAUAUUUUUUACAAGGUACCCAAAUUAAGGACCUUUCAUCUCAGUAGGAAUGACUCUCUAUGAAGGCAGUUAUUUGCCUACAUGAAAUGUAGAGGUAACAAGAAUGUGUCCCUCUCCAGAGCAUUGCCUUCACUCGUCUAGAUUUCAUAACAAAGACAUCAAUUUUAGCGUUAAGCAUUGCUUUCACUUUUGCAUCAAAAUGUAAUACCGUUGAAGAACUAACCUGUGAGUCUUACUGAAUAAUAUAUAAGACCCAGUACAAAGUGAAAAUGUGGUACCCUUUGUUCAAAAAGCUAGAAAAAAGUGUCAUUAAAGGCACUAAAGUGUAAUAAAGGCUUUCCUUUUCUUCUGUGGUCUUGAAUUGUCAUGAUAUUUUUUAUAAUUUUCAAUUUAAUGUCAAGUAAAGGAAACUUAUUUUAAAAGACUAGCAUGAAUUUUACCAUUCAUCUUUAUAUGAGGCAAUGACUCUGUGUGUGUGUUUGGUUUUGAGACA